rnacentral:rRNA from 1 species
UGGGGGAUAUUGCACAAUGGGCGAAAGCCUGAUGCAGCGACGCCGCGUGGGGGAUGAAGGCCUUCGGGUUGUAAACUUCUUUUGCUCUGAACAAGGCAUGCCUUUGGGGUGUGUUGAGUGUAGGGGUUGAUUAGCGCCGGCUAACUACGUGCCAGCAGCCGCGGUAAUACGUAGGGGGCAAGCGUUGUCCGGAAUCACUGGGCGUAAAGGGUUCGCAGGCGGAAAUGCAAGUCAGUUGUGAAAGGCAGAGGCUCAACCUCUGUAAGCAAUUGGAACUGUAUUUCUUGAGAUGUGGAGAGGCAAGUGGAAUUCCUAGUGUAGCGGUGAAAUGCGUAGAUAUUAGGAAGAAUACCGGUGGCGAAGGCGACUUGCUGGACACAAACUGACGCUGAGGAACGAAAGCGUGGGUAGCAAACAGG